rnacentral:rRNA from 1 species
AAUACGACUCUCGGCAACGGAUAUCUCGGCUCUCGCAUCGAUGAAGAACGNAGCGAAAUGCGAUACUUGGUGUGAAUUGCAGAAUCCCGUGAACCAUCGAGUCUUUGAACGCAAGUUGCGCCCGAAGCCGUCAGGCCGAGGGCACGUCUGCCUGGGCGUCACGC